rnacentral:lncRNA from 1 species
GUGAGGUUCACUUCACUUGGCCUUCAAGUUGAGAUGAGAUUAUAAAGAGAAAAUGCUAGGAAAAAAUAAAAAUAAUGCAGUUCCCUUUAUCGACGUUGCAAUGUUGUUCUUUUUGUAGUGAGUGAAAGUGGUUCACUCUGUAAAACAAGAUUGUCGAAAAAAAUUAUGAAGUUCAUUACUCUCUUCCAUGCGGCCAGCUCCGGGUCGUUCUGCAAUCUUUUGCCCCCUGCCACUCAUCCACCCCCAUCCUCUCUGUUUUGCAGGUCCAGCAGCACAUCCGACGUCGACAGAGGGUGGUGACCCCUCUUCCACCUACCUUUUGACGGCGUGCACUGCAACAGCAGCGGCGUGCACUGCAGGCAGCAGCGGCCAGUGCAGUUCGCGCAUGAUGGGAUUGCAGCUCCAGGUGCCCCCGACUCCCUCCUGCCUCUCUCCCUGCAAUUCUCCACUAACGGUAGGCAAUCCAGUCUGCUCUUUCAUGUAGGUCGGCUGGAUUUUCCUCUUCGGGAGCUUUUGUCGCUUCGGUGGAGCAGUGCACAUAGCAGGCACAUACGACCAUUUGUUGACUCCCCAUGCAGUACACUUUUGUGUUGUGAGGCGGGCGUCGUCGGGAUUCGUCAGUAGGCUCUGUUUGCUUGCGUGAGAUAUGGUUCAAACUGUAUGUUUAAUUUUUGUUUUCCUCUGUUCGCUUGCGAGAGAUAUGGUUCAAAUAUAAUGUAUGUUUAAUUGCAAAAGUUGUCCACUUUAGCUAGCAUCGGCGGUUUGCAUUGAGAAAAGGAAAAAAGAGGAGAACCAUAAUGCAGCCCACUUUGAGGGACUCCACUGUCCACCUCUCAUUAAAAAAUGUUUUCAAGAAGUUUGUUUUGCCCCUUUUGGGGGUUCAUGAAAAACAGAAGUGAAAGAAAGACAAAAUAUAAAUUUGUGUGGCCCACUUUCGGGGAGUGUCGCGGUUCACUUCCGAUGCUCUCGAUGUUUGCUUUCGGUGGUGUCGUGGUUCAUUUAAUCCCAAUAUGAAGUGCGGAAAAAUGUUAUGAAAAUGAGUUUAAAAAAGUAACGAGGUUCAUUCUUGAUGGUGAUUCCGUUCACUUGCGCCUGAUGUGAAGCACAUUCCACUUCCUUGUCUAAGAAAAUAUACGUGUGACAAAACUAACAAAAUGAAAAUCAAAGCAGUUUGUUUUGCCCAUCUGUUGUACUGCGGUUUUCACUCUGAAGCAGUGUGGUCGGCCGUAUGAUGUUGUACAUCCCGUAAGUGUAAAGAAAAUUGUUAUGGAAGUGAAGAAAAGUAAUGUGGUUCACUUCUUGAUAGUGUUGUGGUUCAUUUACACUCGAUGUGAAGUGCACUCUACUUUCUCGUCCUUGAAAAAAUUACGUUUGAAUAAAAGAAACCAUGCAGUUCUCUUACCCGUCUGAUGAAGUGCGGUUUUUCGUCCGAUGCAGUGCGGUUUUCAGUUGGAUGAAGUACCCACGUCGAUUUGGGUGUCGAGAAAAACAAAGUGUCCGCAUUUCGGUAAAUUUGAAAAUCCUCUUAAACCGUAAAGAAUUACAGAGAGUGUUCUACAUGAAAAAGUUGCGCCUCAUCGAUAUCUUUCCAACGGAGUAUCGUUUGAAUCAUUCCGAUCAGCGGUUUGUAAAAAUUUCGCGAAAAACGGCCGCUGCCACUCGUCGUCCGCCGCACGAUUUUCAUAAUUAACUUAAAACCAUAAGGAAUCCUAAAAACAUUUCAACAUAUGAAAGUUGUGCCUCGUCCAUAGAUUUUCAACGGUAUAUUACACGCCUUGUUUCGACAAACGGUUAAAAAACUAGAGCGAAAACAGUAUCGAAAAUUUGAAAAUUUGUGAAAAACAGAAUUCCGCGAUUUAGUAAAUUUGAAACUACUCUUAAACCAUAACGAAUUAGAGAAAACAAUAGUUAUGAAAAAGAUGCGCCUCGAUGAUAUCUAUCCAACAGUGUAUCAUUUGCCUCAUUCCGACGAGCGGUUUAGAAAAGAAAGCGAAAAGACGCUCGUUGUCACUCUUUGUGGGCUGCACCAUUUUUGAAACUAGUCUUAAACCGCGGGGAAUCUUGAAAAGUGUUCAACAUGGCAAAGUUGUGCAUAAUCUGUAGCUUUCCAACGUUAUAUUACACGCCUCGUUCCGAUAAAUGGUUAAAAAAUUAGAGCGAAAACAGUACCGAAAAAAUACUACGCACAGUUUUUUUCGAGACGAAGUUCGCUAGUCUUUGUAAUGCAGUGCUCUUGCUAAAGAAAGUGCAGUGCCCUCGCGUUGAGCAUGCAGUGCGGAAGUGUUAUCAGAAUAACUAUUCUGAUAAUAUUAUCAGAAUAUACGGACUGUAUAUAUAUAUACACACACACAUAUAUAUAUACACUCCAGCAAUUUUUGGCAAAGUUCAAUUUGAUCAAGUUCAAAGCAGGUUCAACCAAAAGUAGCAUGCAUUCAAACAUAAACAUAGAUAGUUUUGCAUAACCGAACAUAAAACAUAAAUUUAAACUAAACUAAACUACAUUCAGUCAAAGUGGAGGUCAAAUCAAUCCUUCCUCAUUAGGUACGGUGUGUCGCGAGGCGGGUCCAAGACGGUGCCGUCGUCGGGGUCAUUGGGGAGGACACUCUUUCACUCAUCGACGUCGAUCUCCUCAUCCUCGUUGCCCACUUCGACGCCCUCUCUGCCGCCAUCCUCACCGCCUUCAACCUCGUUCUCAGAGGAGAGCACCAUAACCUCGCCAGCCUCUGCGCCGGCAAAGAUCAUCCGCUCCGCCUCCACGAGCUCUGGGUGCUGCCGGCGAAGUUCUUGCAUGUAGGCCUCGUCGGCGGCCUUGGCCUUGAGGCGUUCCCUCGCCUUGCGGUCCUCCCUCUCCAUAGCCGAGCUCAACACCCUGGCUCCGGCACGACGAGGUCGACGGACGUGUGCUGAAGGGGAAAUUGAACCUAGCCACCGCGCCAUGGUAGUGAACCUGUCAGCGGUCAUACUCCAUGGCCGAGAGCUUGGCCGUGUGCAAGCUACUGAGCCACCGGCGGGUGUGGGUCUCCCGAUCCGUAAUCUCGGCGAUCCACGUCACCCAGCACCUCUGCCGGACCCCGAGAUAGGACCUCCCCGGUGGCCGAGCCGGGACGCGACGACGGGCAGAUUGGGCGACCGGCGAUGGCAGCUUGAUAAAUAGCCCGCGAAGGACGACGGGGACACAUCGGUGGCGACCUCACCAACAUUAGGCGAAGAGGUCAAGAUAAACCUCUUUUGGGCCAUUGGCUCCUCGAACUUCCCGGCACACAGGCAGAGGUUGACGAUGGAGGCGGUGGCGGCGCUGAUGGCGGUGACCUACCAAUGGUUCCAAGCGAGGGAGGGGUUGUGUGUGUCUUUUUUGAGCGGUUGUUUUGGGGGUGGAGGGGGGCCAAGGUGGUGUUUGAGGAAAUACCGUGACAACUAUAAAUUUUACUAGGCGGGAGUAAAAUGUUGGGCCUAUGUAACAUCCCAAAUUUUCAAUUUGGAAUGUUAUGCAUUAGAUCAUCAUUGCAUCUCAUAUUUUAUUGCAUUUUGGUUGAUCCUAGAAAUUCUAAGCAACUCAAGGACCCACGGAGAGAGUUGGGAAUUUCAUUAUUUUCAUAUUUGAGUUUUUCUCGAAUUAUGAAAAGAGGAUCGUUUGAUUUUAAUUUUAUUUCUCUGAAAUAUUUCUUUUAUUAAAAAUAAAAGAGAGAGAGGAUAAAAUGACUUCCUCAAAAUAAAGAAAUAUGAAAGAUUUAAUAUUAAAAUCAAAUAAUAUUUUUAUCUCGAGUUUUAUCACUAUUUUAUUUUAAUUAGGAAAAACAUGCGUUUUUCCAAAUUGCAUUUUAGGCCCAAAUAAAUGUUCAUCUUGUCCAGCUUAUUUUUAGAGGACGGGGAAAAUUUAUUUCGGGAUUUUUGGAGUCUGUUUAGUAUUUCUUUUCUUUCUUUUUUUGCACGUCUGAAUUAUUUAAAAAAACGCCCGACCGACUUAGGGUCAGUUUUGGCCAGGACUUCUCGGGCCAGGCCUUUAAAUGCCGCCACCCUGAGGCCCGUUCAACCCGCCAGCCCCACCCGAACCCUAACCGCGCCGCUACCCGCCUCGGGAAUCGCACCGCCGCCGCCCGAUCCACCGCGAGCUGCCGCCGCCUGGCCUCGCGCGCCGCCCCGCCGCACCGCCGCCCUGCCACCGCGCCGCCUCAUCGCCCCGCCACCCNNNNNNNNNNNNNNNNNNNNNNNNNNNNNNNNNNNNNNNNNNNNNNNNNNNNNNNNNNNNNNNNNNNNNNNNNNNNNNNNNNNNNNNNNNNNNNNNNNNNNNNNNNNNNNNNNNNNNNNNNNNNNNNNNNNNNNNNNNNNNNNNNNNNNNNNNNNNNNNNNNNNNNNNNNNNNNNNNNNNNNNNNNNNNNNNNNNNNNNNNNNNNNNNNNNNNNNNNNNNNNNNNNNNNNNNNNNNNNNNNNNNNNNNNNNNNNNNNNNNNNNNNNNNNNNNNNNNNNNNNNNNNNNNNNNNNNNNNNNNNNNNNNNNNNNNNNNNNNNNNNNNNNNNNNNNNNNNNNNNNNNNNNNNNNNNNNNNNNNNNNNNNNNNNNNNNNNNNNNNNNNNNNNNNNNNNNNNNNNNNNNNNNNNNNNNNNNNNNNNNNNNNNNNNNNNNNNNNNNNNNNNNNNNNNNNNNNNNNNNNNNNNNUGCCCCGCCCAGCCGCCCGCCGGAGCCCCAUGCCACCGCCAAACCGCCGGACCUGAGGUAGCCGCCUCGGUUUUUGUGAGAAAACCAUUUGGUUUUUUUCAAAAACCCUAGAUCCAUUUUGUAUUAUUAGAUCCGGUUCGGUUUUAUUUUUUUACGAACGGUUUUCACCAUUUAACCGCAGACAGCGAACGUUCGUUUGUUAGCCUGUUCGUCAGUUUUUCUUUUUCUCGGAUUUUCGGCUAUUAUUUUCAAACGCGAUUUCUGAUCUGAAUUUCGUUCUAGUAUAACUUUUCGCUCGUUUAUCAGAAUCAGGCGAUUCAAGUGCCUAGAGUUUCGUCUCGAAACCCUCUUUCCGUUUAACCAACUUAAACAAGUUUUUGCUACUGUAAAACUUGACUUUAGUCCAGAAUAGUAAACGAAGCUUGAUUCUUUCGCCGUUUGAGUUUUGUUGCUUCGUUUGAUUUGAUUGUUUUUGCAAACCGGAGUUCUUAAGUUGAACUUUCUGGUUAGAUCUCUUAUUUGAGUUUUACCCGUGCCCUUGCUUGAUUGCUUAUUGUAUGCUUGUUUGUUUGCGAUGGAGUACCCGGAGUGCGAAGCGUGCUACUACGAGUCUCUAGGUUUCGCGGAUCAUCAGCAAGGCAAGUAACACUUUGAUCAUACCUCUUACUAACCAGUUUUAUUGCAUUAGAUCAAUCCUCAAACAAUUGCAUGGUUAGGAUCUAAAUUAAAUUGUGGGUUGGGAAGUAGUUGAGGUAGUACCUAUUCACCUGUUUAUUAUCAAACCCUGGGAGUUACUUCUACGUUAUGCUUAUGUUGCUAUGCUAUGCUCAUAGACGUGGAUUGGGUUUGAGUGUAUUCAUGACAGAUGUGAGAUUGUUAAUUAAUGGUUAACUUAAGGUGGCAACUUUAAUACACAUUUGGGUGGAUUGAGGCACCUGGGUUUUCCAUUGAUUGCCUGUAAUUUUGGAAAUCCCGGGGUACCAUGUGAUUCUCCUAUGGACCGCCACCCAGGCUCAAAGGGAUCAUAAGAUUAUUCAUACUAGAAACUUCCGUGUGCAGCCACAAGCUAUUAUGGGAUCUAGCAUAGUUGAUUAAGUCAUGUGAACUCUUACUGUGGUAGACUAGCAGAUGUAGGGGAUGUAGGUGGUACUGUCUACCCAUCGUAAGGUGCUAACGCUUCUGAAAGACUGUGUCUCAGUCAUCCGUUUCUCAAACAUCAUGUAGUGCGAGAAAUCAAACGGAGGAGAUCGAGUCUUGUGGGGAAAGUGCACAAACCUCUGCAGAGUGUACAAACUAAUCAUUGUUAGCCGUGUCCCCGGUUGUGGACAAUUUGAGUAUCUAGUUCUUUGAUUAUCAUGUGGAUCUCAUCAUGUUACUUAAAUAAUUUGUUGGGUUUUUAAUGAUUACUUUUAAUUGGGAUUGGGAGGGGGUUUACCUUCUCAAUAUAUUCAACCAACUUUGUAGUUAAAUAAAACAUAUUCCUUUGCGGUAGGGAAAAAUUGGCUUUUCGCAAAACAUAUUAACCAUACAGCCUCCACCAGCCAUAUAUGCAUGUAGUGAUAGCAUUAUUCUAUUCAUUAUCUUUUGGUGUUACAUUGCCAGCAUAUUCCAUGUGCUGACCCGUUUUCGGGCUGCAACGUAUCAUGUUGCAGACUUUUCAGACGAUGAGUAAGGAGCCUUAGGUCGUGGUCUUUCACUCAGUGAUGCCGUUGGAGUUGAUGGACUCACUUUAUCUUCCAAGCCUUCCGCUGUUAUCGUAUUAGAUGGCCUUAAGCCAUAUUUAUUGUAAUAAGUUCUCUUUUGAGACAUACGAUGUAAUAAGUGUGUGAUUGCUACUCUGUUAUAAAUCCUUCGAGUACUGUGUGUGUUAGCAUUACCGAUCUAGGGAUGACACUUAUGCACAGAGAUCAGACUGUUUGAGGUCUGGUCGCUACAGGCUACUGAAAAUAUGGAUAUCGGGCGAGCAUAUAUUUUUUAGAUUGCGAUGGAUGAAGAGGCGGGAGUAAAAUGCCGGGGCUUGUGAAAAUUUGGAUCAAGGGAUAGAAGCAGAACGGGAGUUGCAGAUAGUGCACACGGUCAAAACAUACGACUUGUGUGCUAGAAAACAUAAAAACCUUCCAGUGUCUAUGUGCCAAUGUGAGUGAUAGGGGCACGGGCGUGGCACACGGCAAACUCUGUCUAUUGCGUCCCCAAUCGCAGAUGGUUGCUCCAUCCAACUCGUCUGCUGUUUAUAAAUUUGGCAAAAAGAAUAACACGGGAAAGGGUCAUAACAUGAACACACUAGCAUGUGGACCAAAUAUAUGUACGCAAAGGGUGUUUUGAUGUUCAAAUACCCAAUGCACAAGUUUGAUGUGGCACCUGUCGCACAAAGCACAUAGUAUGUCACAUCCCUAGUUCUGGUAAUGCCUAGUGCUAGCAUCUGGUGUUGCAUCAUGUUUAAAUUCAAGAAACUUGAAUUGGGGAUGUUCCAAACCCUAGCAACAAAUGGAAUUCAAAUAGGUUCAACCUAAAAAUAUUUUCAAUGAACCUGAAAUGCCCUUUCAUAAAUGUUCAUCAUUUUUGAAUUGGUCUAGAACCUCUGCCAAAAAUGGUGCACACUUCUCUAGGACACUCUGGAUUUUUUGAAUUAAAUGAUAAGUAUUUGAAUUUGGACAUUUAAAUUCUAUAAAAUAUUUUAGAUGUCCAAAUAAUCUUUAAAGCAUUUGAGGGCUGUUGGAAAUAAUUCUACAAGUGCCCACAAAUAUUUCUAGGAUUUUAUGAAAUGAUUUAGUAUUUUUACUAAAUCAAAAUAGAGCAAAUAAUUAGAAAACAGAGAAAAAUAGCAAAGAAGAGAGAGAAACCACCUGACUUACCUGGCAGCCCACCUGGCUGGACCGUGCCAGUCAUCCCCUCCUCGCGCCAGAAUGACAAGCAUGCGCAUGGGCCCGAGAGUGCCAUGCCACCAGGGCGUCUGCCUGCGUCCCCAGGCCAGCUCGAUGCCGCGCCCGACGUCCUCGGUGCCGUCCCGAUCUCUCAAACCUCUCAUUCCUUCCCCUGCUCUAUUCCUCUCCCUCCAUCGCCAUGGCCGAGCGCCUCGUGGCGCGCCGACAACCACCACCACGGCCACCGGCCACCCCAUGCCCCGCCGACACGCCAAGAUGCUCCGCCACGACGCCCUCUUCCUCCUCGUCGAGCUACGCUUCACCGGGAGCUCUGCAUUGCCGUUCCGCCAUUGUCUUCCUCCUCGGAUCAUCGGAGAUCAUCUUCGCCAUUCCACCUGCCCCGGACAUUCCCCGAGCCGCUGAGGCCUCUGCCGGCCUCGCUGUGAGCUCCCCCGCCUCUUCUCCUCGCUCCCGUGCUCAGCUUCUCACCGUAGCCAUCGUUUUGAUGAUGACCGAAUUGCACCGCUGCCUGAGCUCCUCGCCGUCGUGGCCACUGUCACCAUAGCCUCCAACCAAGCUCGCCCAUGUGCUCGCCGUGCCUUGUAGGCGCCGUGGGAUCCAAGCACGCAACGCCACGGCCACCAUAGCCUCGUUCCCAAGUGCUCCCGAACUUCGGUCGUCGCCUACGUCGUUGCCGCUGUAGUUUGGGUCCGCCCCAGGGUGAGCUGAAGGCUCUGCUGGACGUGAACGAGCCCCUCCGUCGUCUCGGGCUUCACCGCCGACGAGCCAUGGGUCAACUCCGGCGAGUUUGACCCCGGUUGACCCAGAUUUGACCUCCCCUGGGACACAGACACGCGGGCCCGGCCCUGCUAGUUAACAUAUGUUAGUGCUAAAUUAAUUAGGUUCGCGGGACCCACUGGUCAAUUUGACCUGGGCAGCCCCAUGGACCCGCUAACAUCACAGUGACGCCAUGCUGAUGUAGUAAAUAUUAUUUGGGAUUUAAAAUAAAUCAGAAAUGAUUUAUUUAUUUCAGAAAAUAUCCUAAAAUUCAUGGAAAUUCAACCGUAACUCCAAAUGAAAUAAUUUAUAUAUGAACAAUGAUCAGAAAAAUCUAGUCUAUCCAUCUCUACUGGUUUCAUGCAUGAUAAAGAAACUUAACCCUGCUGUUUAGAUCAAAACAUGAUAAUGCAUUAUAUGAGUUCAUAACUUGAGUUUGAAUUUGAACCCUUGGUUCAAAUAAGCUCAAACCCUUCUGUUCUAGUUGCAUUAGCUCAAAUCAUAGCAUGUUGCCAUGUCAUGAUCAUGCAUCAUAUUGUGUAUUGCAUUGAUUGUGUUUUCUCUCUGUUUACGGUAACUGUCCCCUCUCAGUAAGCGUGGUGCCGACGAUGAGAUCGAUGACACCGAUGAAGAACUAUACUAUCUUCAGAAAUGCCAGGCAAGCAAAACCCCCUUGUUCAUUCCGAUACAAUCCCACUCUCUCGCUCUUGUUCUCUUUUACUGCAUUCGGACAACAACGAUUCAACUGUUACAUGUUGCGGUAGUUGAAACCCUUUGCUCUACAUGACCUGUCAUUGCCACAGUAAAUAGAUGAAAGCCACUAGCAUCAGUAGGAGUUGUUUGAGCCCUGAUGUGCCUAUUCAUUCAUGCUUGUUUGUCAUGCCUGCUACUACUUAGAGUUGAGUCAGGUCCGAUUCAUCAGGGAUGAAUUGGAAUGUGGUGAAGAUGUCCUACUUUUGAGAGCUAAGUUUGUGAACACGAUUUGGUAAAGGUAGUGGUGAGAGGCCAUGUAGGAGUACAUGGUGGGUUGUCUCAUUGAAACCGUCCUCAAGAACUGAGUUAUGUGUUUCUGAUCCAUGAACAGCUACUACCACACGUUGGGCCCUGAAAUAUUACCCCGCUCGACUUAUUAACCCCCCUUGUCCUCUGUCCAGGAGUUGCAAGUAGUUUCUGGUGUUUGUUGUAUGCUGGAGGCCAUGCGCAGCGCUGACCUGAGGGGGGGGGCUGUGAUGUGGUAGGCACGUGGCACGGUGUACCGGGACGCCCGUUUGGUGCCUCGGGAACCCUGCACAAAUCGUUCAGGGCUGUAAGUGGAAACCUCGGCCGGACUCCCUUUGGAUGGAACAUGAAUAGGCGAUAAACCUGGACUAGGGACUUGUGUGGUUAGUCAGGUCGUGGCCUUCACCCAUGUCGGCUUUCGCUUGAAGUCUGUCGAGCACAUGUCGUGUGCAGACGUUCAGUGGUGGAAAUAUGUGUGAAGAAGUACACCCCUGCAGGGUUAUAAAUGAUCUAUUCGAAUAGCCGCGUCCACGGUAAAGGACCUCUGGGUUGCCUAUACAGUUCAUAGACAAGUGAAAGUGGAUACUCUAAAAUGCGCAAGAUAAGCGUGAGUGCUAUGGAUGGCAUUCUUGUAGGGAGACGGGAGCGGAUCCAUAGUGGUGUAUUGAUUGGACAAUAUGUGGACUCGUGUGCGCCACCCCAAAAGAGUUACUUGUAGACGUAGUUCAGGAUAGCCACUGAGUCAAAGCUGGCUUGCUGUAGUUAAACUCCACCACCCCUUUGUUGAUACUGAUGCAUAUGUAGCUAGUUCUGAUGUAAGUCUUGUUGGGUACAUUUGUACUGACAUUUGCUUAAUUUAUGUUUUUUGCAGUGAGACUUCAGUCUUGCUAGUAGUUCCGCGUGGACCUUGAUGUUUAGCUUGUUACCUCAGCUAUGAUCUUGUACCCUUGGGAGGGUCUUGUAGAUAGUCACGCUUCUCAGCCUUGUUCAUUUGUAGUUGUCUAUACUCAGACAUGUUUAUACUUCCGCUUGUUGCUUAUAUGUUCUGUAUGUUGGGUCAUGGGACCCAUGUUUGUAAUAUCUGGCUCUUCGGAGCCUAAUGAAUAAAUACUUUGAGUUGUAGAGUUUUGUUGUGAUGCCAUGUUGUAUUUGCACAUAUCGAGCAUAUUGUGUGUAUGAUUUGAAAUGCUUGGUAUGUGUGGGAUCCUACAACCUAGUUGUUUAUCCUUGGUAGCCUCUCAAACUAGGAAAUGUCUCCUAGUGCUUCCACUAAGCCAUGCUAGCUUGCUACUGCUGCGGAACACUUAGGCUGGCCAGCAUGUGUCCUUCUUCGUUCCUGUGUCAGUCCCUUCGGGGAAAUGUCACGCGGUGUCUACCGGAGUCCUAUUAGCCUGCUAUAGCCUAGAUUCUCCGGAGUCAUGUUAGCCCAGCUACUACAGCCCAGAUUCACUCGCUGAUGACCGACACGUUGGUUGCUGCGUCAUGUAUGCCUGUCCCUAUAAGUUAGUGCCACUUUGGGUUUAUGACUAGUCAUGUCAGCCUGGGUUCUAUGUCAUAUGGAUGCUAGCGACACUAUCAUAUACAUGAGCCAAAAGGCGCAAACGGUCCCGGGCCAGGUAAGGUGGCACCCGUGGGAAUACCGUGUGUGAGGCCGCAAAGAUAUGAUGUGUUACAUGCUAGAUCGGUGUGACUUAGGAUCGGUGUCCUGACAUAGUAUUGCUAGUCAGCCACCCCUACGAACCCCGCUUGUGUCUGCGGUAAGGCAAUCCUAGCUAUGAACGCAUGCUCCCAAAUAGCUAGGUCUGAAAUCUCACCCUACCGCAACACAAAACCUAUAGGAGUCAAUCAUGGUCAAACCCCCUUUCGCUUCCGGACAAAUGUGGACCGUGUGCCAACCCACAAUUGUGUGCUGGGGUGCGAGAUGGGUGCAUGAGACCACAUACGAACCACAUGCGGGUGGCCCUACUAUAUGUAUGAAAAGGGUGUGGUGUGAUAUUUAACUACCAUUCACAACUUUGAUGUGGCACAUGUUGUCGGGGUCCUGGGAACGGGGGUCCCCAGACUUGCCUGCCUGCGGCCCAGUGGCGUGGCUCUGCCAGCGGCAUGGUACGACCCAUCUUCAGCAACAAACACGCAAGACCCUUGUGAGGGGCCCAACCUCGCGAGGCGGACGACACAAGACCUCCUCAGGGGCAGCCUCGCUAGGCUGGCUUGCGAGGAGCGGAGACAUCAAGGCAGGGGGCACCUUGCAAGGGUCCCGUGACGGGAGCCAUGACGACCAAGGCCAGGCGGGUGCCAGGCGGGCGCCUGCGGGCGCAGUGUACUGGUUUCCUCUUUGGUGCUAAAGAGGUAGGCGCAGACGAGGAGUCUCGAGGCUUCAGGCAAAGGUUUCCAUAUCGGUGCAAUGAGACCAAGACCAGCAGGACGGCAGGACGGAGGUCAUCGCGGAGCCGAUAGCUACAUCACCACCAGAGCCUUUGCCAGGCGAAGACCACCUUUAGUCAGGAUAACUUGUACUAGGUGUCUCCCUUCAAAUUCGGCAGUUGUGGGAUCCCUUGCCGCCUACAUUUGGGAAGAGGACAAGGGCCUCUAUAAAUAUCACUAGCCACCCACCACAGAGAGGGACCGGAAGGAGGACAUAUUACCCAGACCAUCCUCACCCUCAUCAGCUCACCGAGCCCAAGAACACCUCUCCUCAGGAGGCUAUUCUUGCCAUGUACUUGUUCAUCCUCAGCCAACAAGGCAAUCCACCACACCACACUGCAGUAGGGUAUUACACCACAAUUGUGGCCCGAACUGGUAUAAACUCUUGUGUCUCUUGUCCCUUGAGUCCGGAAAGCUAGGCCUUGAGAUCGUUGUGAGAGUGGGAUAUAGGAGGAGACAGUUCUUCAUGCACACCCCAGUGUUCAAACCUUGAGGGUUUUGCCGGAACCCACGAUCCAACAUUUGGCACGCUAGGUAGGGGUGUGUCAAGGCUUUCCCUCGCUGAUCCAUGUUCCACUGCUUCACCGCGUCCGGGCCACCCUUGCUGCCCGUGUCGCUCAGACGGCCCUUGUCGGCGGGCCUCCCCAUCGCUCUCCAUCACCCACCGCCAACGCCGCAACCGGCCCGGCGGGAAAUGAGCAGCAGGUUUCGUCGCUGCACCCCUCGGUGCGGCGGGACGGCCGCACCGCCACUCCGUCACUGACUCCGGCCGGCGCGUCAUCCCACACUCGUCGCGCGCCCUCAGAUGCACAGGCUGCUCUGCUCAUGGCGCGUGAACUCCUGCGCUACCGCCCGGUCGAUGACCUCUAUGAGGACUGGCUGGACUGCAUCAGCGAGCUCGUCAGCAUCGCUGGGGGCUCCCCGGCACCGUCUCUUUUGCUGCCUCGCCCACCUCCUGCCACGGGUGACGUAGCUCACGGAGCACCUCCACCACCUCCGCAUCAAGACGACACCCUAGCACCAAGGUGCGCGGCCCCACGGCGCGAUCUGCCGCGCCGAGCGGCCGCACACAAAUAAGGAAGCUUCCAAGAAGUUCAUCGGCCACAAGAAAAUGCUCCUCCGCUCCCAGCGCCGCCACGUCAGGCCACUCGCCACCUGCGGUGGCAGCAUGCAAGGAUACCAAGAUCAAGCUCCGCCCCUGCGACGGGCCCCGGUGGCAACAGCGGGCUGCCGUGCCUUCACUCCCGAGUUGUGUAGCAUCGUCUGGCCAGGCAAGUUCAAGCUAGACCUGCCUCCGUGCUAUGACGGCACCCCCGACCCUGCGGAGUUCUUGUAGCUCUACAAGCUGAGCAUCGAGGUAGCCAACAGUGACGAGAAAGUCAUGGCGAACUGGUUCCCCAUGGCUCUCAAGGAUGGUGCUCGCUCUGGCCUCCUGAACUUGCCCCCGGGUCGAUCUCCUCCUGGGGCGAGAUGCGCGACUGCUUCGUCACCAACUUCCAGGGCACUCGCGACUGCCCGCCGGCCGCAGUUGACCUGUGCCGCAUCAAGCAGCAGCUAGUAGAGACCUUGCAGAAGUACAUCCAGCGCUUCAACAGCGUCCGCCUCAAGAUUCUCAAGGUGACGGACGAGGCCAUCAUCUUGGCGUUCUCUGUUGGCGUCCAUGACGUCAAGAUGAAGGAGGAGCUCGCCAUCCACGAAGACCUAUGCACAGCCCUGGAGAUGUUCAACAUGGCGACCAAGUGCGCCAGAGCUGAGGAGGGGCGCCUCUCCCUCCUCGAGCUCUCCUCUGCUGACCCGGAAGAGAAGAAAGCCAAGGCCAAGGACACGAAGUGCAAGGGAGUAGCCGUGCUCGCGAUCGAGCCAGAGAUGAAGCGUGGUCGGGACCAACCCGAGUCAUCUAAGGGCAAUCGUCCACUCUGCGCCUUCCACAACAUGCACAUCCACAAAACCAACGACUGUCAAGAGCUUAGGGCCAUCCGCGACGGACGCUUCGGUCGGCGCCCCAAGCGCAACGACCGCGGCUAUGGCCGAGGAGGAUGACGAAGCGGAGGACGUUGGGAUGACCGCGGCCCCUGCCAGGAGUGGCACGACCAGCCUCGGGAGGACCACUGGCAGGACCAGCCUCGCGAGGGCACCUGGAGGAACCAUCCUCAGGGAAAUGCUGGCCUCCCUCCGCUGCCGCCACCACCGAGGAGGAACGACGACCACCAUCAGGACGAGGGGACUAGGGGCUUCCAGGAACCGCGCACCAUCGCCUGCAUCUUGGGUGGUGCUCAGGCCCCAGCUGCCCAGCGCAUCUUCAAGCAGUUCGCCCGUGAGGUGAAUGCGGCUCUCCCCAGGCUCGAAGCCACACGCCCGCUCAGGUGGUCCAAGUACGCCAUUACAUUCACCUCGUCCGACCAGCACAAGUGGGCAGCGACUGCUGGCGCUCUCCCUAUGCUCUGCUCGCCCGUCAUCAGCAUCAUCCAAGUCACCAAGACCCUCAUUGACGACGGCGCAGGGCUCAAUGUCCUGUCUGUCGUGACGUCCUAUCGCCCCCAGGUGCCAUACGAUCAGCUACAGCCAACCAAACCCUUCUCAGGAGUGACCGAUGGCUCCACCACCCCGAUAGAGCAGAUCCGCCUCCCUGUCACCUUCAGCGGGCGCGAUAACUACCACACCGAGCUUAUCGACUUCAACAUCGCCCACAUUCACCUGCCGUACAAUGCCAUCCUCGGGUAUCCAGCUCUAGCCAAGUUCAUGGAAGUGACCCAUCACGGAUACAACGUCCUCAAGAUGCCAGGGACCAGCGGUAUCAUCGCGGUCGCCUGUGAAGAGAAAGAUGCAAUGUGCUCCCUCGAGCGUGCUUACCAAGCUGCAGUAGCCGAAGACCCAGACAACAAAGGCGCCAUCUACCCUCCUAAGGCCAUCCCCAAGAAGAAGCAACCAUUCCGCCAAAGGCCUCAGGAGAGCGGCGUCUUCAGUAGCACCACCUCAAGACCUGCGCCCGCAGAUCGGGCGCCUCCCUCCCUUGCAUAGGAAGGCGCGCCCGGCGCCCUCCUCGGGCUGGGCUCGGGGGCUCUCUACUGGAGGGCCUCGGUCCUAGCCAACAUCACGAGGGACGCGCUCGAGCACCAUGUGGACGCGUGCUUCGCUGCAAGCUUCCCCCAUGCGGGCACUAGGCAAGGAGCGCCUAGUGCUCAGGAGUUCAUCACCAAGACCACUCAGGAGCUUCAAGAGGCGACCGCCAUGCGUGGCGACCGCCGCCCACCACUCAGCGCAGCUCCGCGUCCUGGUGAGGACGAUGGGUUGCGCGUCUGCAUCGACAUCCCAGGCCUCAACAGGGCUGCAUCUCAGGAGCGUUUCUGGCCUUCGCAAGUUGGUAGGUGUGAGGGUCCACCUCAUAGCUGCGUUCGCAUGCCCUUUGGCUUGCCGAACACAGCUUUCACCUUCCAGCGCUGCAUGCGGAGCGUCCUGGCAGCUCAGGAGGCCAAGCACCACGCAGUCCUGACAGAGAUGGAGACGGUUCUCCAAGAACCACCGGAGCCCCCGGAGCCUCUCGAGGCUCAGUACCCUGGUGGCUCAUGAGGAGCGACUCCUUCAGCAUGCACCUUCAGCUACUUCAAAACCCCAUCGACAACGGUACUAGGUGACAUCUUUUGAUUCAUUCAGCUGGGAGCCCCCCUCAGGCUGCAUCAUUCCCAGGUCACACGGGCCUGUCCCUGCGGCAUGUAUCCUUUCCCAUUUUUAGCUUACUCUGUUGGGGGCGCCCCUCGGGCUGCAUCAUCCCCAGGCCACUGGGGUCCAUCCCAGUGGCGUGUAUGGUUCCUUGGAUCUAUUUGAACUAGCUUGUCUCCUUGCAUGAGUCCCCAGUGAUUAUCACAUGCCUGUCCGGUAAUUUGAUACCAUGAACAUCGCACACCCUUGAAAGCCCGCCCACGACCGCCUCAUGAUUAAGUACUGGCAUGACGUAUGUGCUCGGGUCCGUCCCUGCAGCGUUCCAAACCCAAGAGGCUGAGCUCUGGCUCACGGACCCGCCCCCGUGUACGUCACCUCCCAUGGCCCUUGGUGCCUUGUUCUAGCAUGAGCUAAUCAUGGAUGGACAGGCCAGGGCCCGUGACCCGGUGCCUCGCCACCACGGGAGCCGUGCGCAGAUCGUCUUUCUUUAGGAUUCUUCGCAUGAGAAGAUGCUACCUCUUGAGCUUGCAUUGGAUUUGCCCGAAGAGGAAAGGAUGAUGCAGCAGAGUAGCGUAAGUAUUUCCCUCAGAUUUUUGAGAACCAAGGUAUCAAUCAGUAGGAGGCUACACGCAAGUCCCUCGUACCUACACAAAAACAAUAGCUCAACGCAACCAACGCAAUUAGGGGUUGUCAAUCCCUUCACAGUCACUUACGAGAGUGAGAUCUGAUAGAGAUGAUAGAUAAUAUUUUUGGUAUUUUUGAUAUAGAGAUGCAAAGUGAAAAGUAAAAGGCAAAGUAAAAAAGCAAAGCAAGAUUAAAGCGAUAGAGAUUGAUAUGAUGAGAAUAGACCCGGGGGCCAUAGGUUUCACUAGUGGCUUCUCUCAAGAGCAUAAGUAUUCUACGGUGGGUGAACAAAUUACUGUUGAGCAAUUGACAGAAUUGAGCAUAGUUAUGAGAAUAUCUAGGUAUGAUCAUUUAUAUAGGAAUCACGUCCGAGACAAGUAGACCGACUCCUGCCUGGAUCUACUACUAUUACUCCACUCAUCGACCGCUAUCCAGCAUGCAUCUAGAGUAUUAAGUUAAAAACAGAGUAACGCCUUAAGCAAGAUGACAUGAUGUAGAGAGAUAAAUUCAUGCAAUAUGAAAUAAACCCCAUCUUGUUAUCCUCGAUGGCAACGAUACAAUGCGUGCCUUGCUGCCCCUUCUGUCACUGGGAAAGGAAACUGCAAGAUCGAACCCAAAGCUAAGAACUUCUCCCAUGGCAAGAAAAACCAAUCUAGUAGGCCAAACCAAACUGAUAAUUCGAAGAGACUUGCAAAGAUAACCAGUCAUACAUAAAAGAAUUCAGAGAAGAUUCAAAUAUUAUUCAUAGAUAGACUUGAUCAUAAACCCACAAUUCAUCGGUCUCAACAAACACACCGCGAAAAGAAGAUUACAUCGAAUAGAUCUCCACGAGAGAGGGGGAGAACAUUGUAUUGAUAUCCAAAAAUAGAGAAUAAGCCAUCUAGCUAAUAACUAUGGACCCAAAGGUCUGAGGUAAACUACUCACACUUCAUCGGAGAGGCUAUGAUGAUGUAGAAGCCCUCCGUGAUGACGGCCCUCUUCGGCGGAGCUCUGGAACAGGCCCCAAGAUGGGAUCUCGUGGAUACAGAAAGUUGCGGCGGUGGAAUUAGGUUUUUGGCUCCGUAUCUGAUCGUUUGGGGGUAUGUAGGUAUAUAUAGGAGGAAGGAGUAUGUCGGUGGAGCAACAGGGGGCCCACGAGGCAGGGGGCGCGCCCUAGGGGGGGUGCCCCCCACCCUCGUGACCGCCUCUGUUACUUCUUGGAGUAGGGUCCAAGUCUCCUAGAUCACGUUCAAUGAGAAAAUCAUGUUCCCGAAGGUUUCAUUCCAUUUGGACUCCGUUUGAUAUUCCGUUUCUUCGAAACACUAAAAUAGGCAAAAAAACAACAAUUAUGGGUUGGGCCUUAGGUUAAUAGGUUAGUCCAAGAAUAAUAUAAAAGUGGAUAAUAAAGCCCAAUAUUGCCCAAAACAGUAGAUAAUAUAGCAUGGAGCAAUCAAAAAUUAUAGAUACGUUGGAGACGUAUCAGGCAUCCCCAAGCUUAAUUCCUGCUCGUCCUCGAGUAGGUAAAUGAUAAAAAGAGAAUUUUUGAUGCGGAGUGCUACUUGGCAUAAUUUCAAUGCAAAUCUUCUUAAUUUUGGUAUGAAUAUUCAAAUUCGAAAGAUUCAAGACAAAAGUUCAUAUUGACAUAAAAAUAAUAAUACUUCAAGCAUACUAACAAAGCAACUAUGUCUUCUCAAAAUAACAUGGCCAAAGAAAGUUAUCCCUACAAAAUCAUAUAGUCUGGCUAUGCUCUAUAUUCAUCACACAAACUAUUUAAAUCAUGCACAACCUCGAUGACAAGCCAAGCAAUUGUUUCAUACUUUAACAUUUUCAAAACUUUUUCGAUCUUCACGCAAUACAUGAGCGUGAGCCAGGGAUAUAGCACUUAUAUGUGGAAUAGAAUGGUGGUUGUGGAGAAGACAAAAGGAGGGGAAGAUAGUCUCACAUCAACUAGGCAUAUCAAUGGGCUAUGGAGAUGCCCAUCAAUAGAUAUCAAUGUGAGUGAGUAGGGAUUUCCAUGCAAUGGAUGCACUAGAGCUAUAAGUAUAUGAAAGCUCAUCAAAAGAAACUAAGUGGGUGUGCAUCCAACUCGCUUGCUCACGAACACCUAGGGCAAUUUUGAGGAAGCCCAUCAUUGGAAUAUACAAGCCAAGUUCUAUAAUGAAAAUUCCCACUAGUAUAUGACAGUGACAAAAUGAGAGACUCUCUAUCAUGAAGAUCAUGGUGCUACUUUGAAGCACAAGUGUGGUAAAAGGAUAGUAACAGUGUCCCUUCUCUCUUUUUCUCUCAUUUUUCUUAUUUGGGCCUUUUUUUAUGGCCUCUUUUCUUUUCUUUUUUUUCGUCCGGAGUCUCAUCCCAACUUAUGGGGGAAUCAUAGUCUCCAUCAUUCUUUCCUCACUUGGGACAAUGCUCUAAAAAUUGAUGAUCAUCACACUUUUAUUUUUCUUACAACUCAACAAUUACAACUCGAUACUUAGAACAAAUAUGACUCUAUAUGAAUGCCUCCGGCUGUGUACAGGGAUAUGCAAUGAAUCAAGAGUGACAUGUAUGAAAGAAUUAUGAACGGUGGCUUUGCAACAAAUACGAUGUCAACUACAUGAUCAUGCUAGCAAUAUGACAAUGAUGGAGCGUGUCAUAAUAAACGGAACGGUGGAAAGUUGCAUGGCAAUAUAUCUCUGAAUGGCUAUGGAAAUGCCAUGAUAGGUAGGUAUGGUGGCUGUUUUGAGGAAGGUAUAUGGUGGGUGUAUGAUACCGGCGGAAAGUGCACGGUAUUAGAGAGGCUAGCAAUGGUGGAAGGAUGGGAAAAAGUGUGUAUAAUCCAUGGACUCAACAUUAGUCAUAAAGAACUCAUAUACUUAUUGCAAAAAUCUAGAAGUUAUCAAAGCAAAGUAUUACGUGCAUGCUCCUAGGGGGAUAGAUUGGUAGGAAAAGACCAUCGCUCGUCCCCGACCGCCACUCACAAGGAAUACAAUCAAUAAAUAAGUCAUGCUCCGACUUCAUCACAUAACGGUUCACCAUACGUGCAUGCUAUGGGAAUCACAAACUUUAACACAAGUAUUUCUCAAAUUCACAACUACUCAACUAGCACGACUCUAGUAUCACCUUCUUCAUAUCUCAAAACAAUUAUCAAGCAUCAAUCUUUUCUUAGUAUUCAACGCACUCAAAAGAAAGUUUCACAAAUCUUGAAUACCAAGCAUAUUAUUAUUAAGCAAAUUAUCAUGCUAUUAAGACUCUCAAAAUAAUCUAUGUGAAGCAUGAGAGAUCAAUAGUUUCUUUACAACAAAUCCACCACCGUGGUCUAAAAUAUCUAAGUGAAGCACAUAGAGUAAAAUUAUCACGCUCAACAUAUAUAAGUGAAGUACAUAGAGCAAAACUACAUAGCUCAAAAGAUAUAAGUGAAGCACAUAGAGUAUUCUAUCAAAUUCCAAUUCAUGUAUGGCUCUCUCAAAACGUGUGUACAGCAAAGAUGAUUGUGGCACACUAACAAACAAACACACAAAUAAUACAAGACGCUCCAAGCAAAACACAUAUCAUGUGGUGAAUAAAAAUAUAGCUCCAAGUAAAUUACCGAUGGAAGUAGACGAAAGAGGGGAUGCCUUCCGGGGCAUCCCCAAGCUUUGAAUUUUUGGUGUCCUUAGAUUAUCUUGGGGGUGCCAUGGGCAUCCCCAAGCUUAGGCUCUUGUCACUCCUUGUUCCAUAAUCCAUCAAAAGAAUUCACCCAAAACUUGAAAACUUCACAACACAAAACUCAAUAGAAAUCUCGUGAGCUCCGUUAGAGAAAGAAAACAAAAGACCACUUCAAGGUACUGUAAUGAACUCAUUAUUUAUUUAUAUUGGUGUUAAACCUACGGUAUUCCAACUUCUCUAUGGAUUGUAAACUAUUUUACUAGCCAUAGAUUCAUUAAAAUAAGCAAACAACAAACGAAAAACAGAAUCUGUCAAAAAUGGAACAGUCUGUAGUAAUCUGUAACUAACGCGAACUUCUGGAACUCCAAAACAUCUACCAAAAUUGGAAGACCUAGACAAUUUGUUUAUUGAUCAGAAGCAAUUGGAAUCAGUAUUUUAUCACGUUUUGGUGAUUUUUAACAAUUCAGCCACUAAACGCAAAGUUUCUGGAAAUUACAGCAAGAUCAAAUAACUAUCAUCCAAGAAGAUCCUAUAGGUCUAACUUGGCACAAACACAAAUUAAAACACAAAACCACAUCCAAACAGAAGGUAUAUGGGUUAUUUAUUCCCAAAAAAAGAAAAAAGAAAAAACUAAAAAUAAAAUUGGGUUGCCUCCCAACAAGCGCUAUCGUUUAACGCCCCUAGCUAGGCAUAAAAGCGAGGAUAGAUCUAGGUAUUGGUAGCUUUGGUAGGCAAUCCAUAAGUGGCUCUCAUGAUAGUUUCAUAUGGCAAUCUUAUUUUCUUUCUAGGAAAGUGUUCCAUUCCCUUUUUAAUGGAAAUUGAAAUCUAAUAUUCCCUUCCUUCAUAUCAAUAAUCGCACCAACCGUUCUAAGGAAAGGUCUACCAAGAAUAAUAGGGCAAGAAUGAUUGCAAUCUAUAUCAAGAACGAUAAAAUCUACGGGCACAUAAUUCCUAUUUGCAACAAUAAGAACAUCAUUAAUUCUUCCCAUAGGUUUCUUAAUAGUGGAAUUCGCAAGAUGCAAGUUUAGAGAGCAAUCAUCAAAAUCACGGAAGUCUAGCAAAUCACACAAAGUUUUGGGGAUACUGGAGACACUAGCACCCAAAUCACACAAAGCAUAAAACUUAUGAUCUUUAAUUUUAAUUUUAAUAGUAGGUUCCCACUCAUCAUAGAGUUUUCUAGGGAUAGAAACUUUCAACUCAAGUUUUUCUUCAUAAGAUUGCGUCAAGGCAUCAACGAUAUGUUCGGUAAAGGCUUUCUUUUGACUAUGAGAAUGAGUAGAAUUUAGCAAGGAUUGCGACAAGGAAAUACAAUCAAUUAAAGAGAAACUUUCAUAAUUGAAUUCCUUGAAAUCCAAUAUAGUGGGUUUAGCAACAUCUAGGGUUUUAUUUCUUUCAAUCCCACUUUCAUUAAUUUCAUCAUCAUGAUCUAAAUACUAUGAAUUUUUGGAACGCCUUCUAGGUAAAGGAAGAUCAUAUUCAGUUUCAUCAAGAUCCAUAUUGCAAAACAAAGAUUUGAUAGUGGACACAUCAAUAACUUUUAGAUCUUCAUCUUGAUUUUCAUAGGAAUUGGAAUAACACGCUUUAAUAAAAGCAUCUUUGGAAGCACUCAUCAAUGGAAAUUCUCAUGGCUUUGAGAGACUCAUUGAUAUCAUGCUUAGGAGGAAUAGAUCUAAGCUUUAAAGAAUCAACCUCAAGAGAAAUUAUAUCAACGUUCCUAGCCAAGUCAUCAAGUUUAAGCAAUUUCUCUUCAAGCAAAGCAUUAAAAUUGUUUUGUGAAUUCAUAAACUCUUUAACACUACUCUCAAAUUUAGAGGGCAUCUUAUUAAAAUUUCCAUAAGAUUUGUUGUACGAAUUUCCAUAAUUAUUAGAAGGAUUACUAGGAUAAGGCCUAGGAUUAAAAUUCCCUCUAUACGCGUUGUUACCAAAAUUAUUCCUACCAAAAAUUCACAUCCAUAGAUUCAUUAUUAUUCUCAAUCAAAGUAGACAAAGGCAUAUCAUUAGGAUCAGAAGAAAUACUCUUAGUAGCAAAUAAUUUCAUAAGUUCAUCCAUCUUUCCACUCAACACAUUGAUUUCUUCUAUCGGAUGCACUUAUUUAUUAGUGGAUCUUUCAGUGUGCCAUUGAGAAUAAUUAACCAUAAUAUUAUCUAGGAGUUUAGUAGCAUCUCCUAAAGUGAUUUCCAUAAAAGUGCCUCCCGCGCCGAAUCUAAAAGAUUUCUGGAAGCAAAAUUCAAUCCAGCAUAAAAAAUUUGUAUAAUCAUCCACAAGUUCAAACCAUGAGUAGGGAAAUUACGUAUCAUUAAUUUCAUUCUCUCCCAAGCUUGUGCAACAUGUUCAUGAUCAAGUUGCUUAAAAUCCAUAAUAUCAUUUCUAAGAGAGAUGAUCUUAGUGGGAGGAAAAUACUUAGAAAUAAAAGCAUGUUUGCACUUGUUCCAAGAAUCAAUACUAGUUUUAGGCAAAGACAAAAACCAAGCUUUAGCAUGAUCUCUAAGAGAAAAAGGAAAUAGCUUCAAUUUAACAACGACAUUAUCGACAUCUUUCUUCUUUUGCAUAUCACAUAAAUCAACGAAGCUAUUAAGAUGAGUAGCGGCAUCUUCACUAGGAAGGCCGGCGAAUUGAUCUUUCAUAACAAGAUUCAACAAAGCAGUAUUGAUUUCACAAGAUUUAGUAUUGGCAAGAGGAGCAAUCGGAGUGCUAAGGAAAUCAUUAUUAUUUGUAUUGGUGAAGUCACACAAUUUGGUAGUAUCUUGAGCCAUCGCGACAAGCAAGCAAUCCAACACACGAGCAAACAAAAGGCAAGCGAGAAAAAGGCAAACGGAAAAUAAGAAGGAUAAGGAGAUUGGGAGAGAGAGGGCAAAUAAAACGGCAAGGGUGAAGUGGGGGAGAGAAAAACGAGAGGCAAAUGGCAACUAAUGUAAUGCGGGAGAUAGGGAUUGUGAUGGGUACUUGGUAUGUUGACUUUUGUGCAGACUCCCCGGCAACGGCGCCAGAAAUUCUUCUUGCUACCUCUUGAGCUUGCGUUGGAUUUCCCCGAAGAGGAAAGGAUGAUGCAGCAAAGUAGCAUAAGUAUUUCCCUCAGUUUUGGAGAACCAAGGUAUCAAUCCAGUAGGAGGCUACAGGCAAGUCCCUCGUACCUACACAAAAACAAUAGCUCAACGCAACCAACACAAUUAGGGGUUGUCAAUCCCUUCACGGUCACUUACGAGAGUGAGAUCUGAUAGAGAUGAUAGAUAAUAUUUUUGGUAUUUUUGAUAUAGAGAUGCAAAGUGAAAAGUAAAAAGCAAAGUAAAAAAGCAAAGCAAGAUUAAAGCGAUAGAGAUUGAUAUGAUGAGAAUAGAUCCAGGGGCCAUAGGUUUCACUAGUGGCUUCUCUCAAGAUCAUAAGUAUUCUACGGUGGGUGAACAAAUUACUGUUGAGAAAUUGAUAGAAUUGAGCAUAGUUAUGAGAAUAUCUAGGUAUUAUCAUGUAUAUAGGUAUCACGUCCGAGACAAGUAGACCGACUCCUGCCUGCAUCUACUACUAUUACACCACUCAUCGACCGCUAUCCAGCAUGCAUCUAGAGUAUUAAGUUAAAAACAGAGCAACGCCUUAAGCAAGAUGACAUGAUGUAGAGAGAUAAAUUCAUGCAAUAUGAAAUAAACCCCAUCUUGUUAUCCUUGAUGGCAACGAUACAAUACGUGCCUUGCUGCCCCUUCUGUCACUAGGAAAGGACACCGCAAGAUCGAACCCAAAGCUAAGCAGUUAUCCCAUGGCAAGAAAAACCAAUCUAGUAGGCCAAACCAAACAGAUAAUUCGAAGAGACUUGCAAAGAUAACCAAUCAUACAUAAAAGAAUUCAGAGAAGAUUUAAAUAUUAUUCAUAGAUAGACUUGAUCAUAAACCCACAAUUCAUCGGUCUCAAUGUCACACCCUAGCUAGUUCAUGCAUUAGAGUGUUGCAUCAUGUUUAUUCUUUCAUCAGAAACCUGAAAUGGGGAUGACAGAACCCCCAGCCCCCUCUGAAACCAACUAGGGUUUACUAAAAACUUUUUCAAUGAACCUGAAAUGCCCUUCUAAAAUGCCCAUCAUUUUUGUCUUGGUUCAGAACCUCUGCCAAAAGUGAUGCACAUUUUCCUAGGUCAUCUUAGGGUCUUUGAAUUAAAUCAUAGAUAUUUGAAUUUGGGCAUUUAAAAUUAUAUAAAAUAUUCAGAUGCUCAAAUAUCUCCAAACUAAAAUGUUUCAUGUUGGAAAUAAUCCAACUAUGGACCAGGAGUAGUUUGGUGAUUUUAGGAGUUGCCUAAGUAUUUUUAAUAAGUCAACAAAGUUGCAGAAGUAUUAAAAAAACAGAAAACAAUAGAAAUAACAAAAAACCUACCUGGCGCCCAGCACCCGGCCCACCUGCCGGCCCAGCCCAGCGUCGCUCCAGCGAGCUACUUGCCGGCCAGGCAGGCAGGCAGGUGCCCGACGGCGACCGCAGCGCGCGCCACGCAGCUGGCCGUCGCCCUGCUUCACCUCCUCGCCUCGGGGCUGGAUGGAUGAGCUCCACGCCACGCCGUGAACCCCCAGGACACCUCCAUUCUCCCCCAACCUCUCUCUCACGCGCUCCCCCGCCAUGGCCGACGCCAUCGCCGCCACCCCCUCGCCGUAGCCACGCCCUCCGUCAACCCCACGCCGUGCCACCGUGUCCAGGAGCUCCGCUACCCUCCUCUCCUUCGAGCAAGCCGAGCCCCGAGCGCUUGCAAGGCCCGAGCCCACCGCAUCGACCUCGACCGAACCGCCGUCGCCGGAGAUCCCCUUCAACGCCGACGUCGCUCCGGCCCGUCCCCGGCCGCACCAAGUGCUUCUUCGACUCCCCGUGAGCUUAGCCAUCUUCCCCUCCCUUCUUUUCUUGUUCCCGAGCUGAGUAGCGACCUCCCGGAGCUCAACCGCACCCACCGCCGCGGAGCUCGUCGCCGACGUGCUCCCGGUCACCCUCCAGCCACAAACUAGUGUCCAUCAUGUUCACCAUGUCACGUAGCACCUAACCAGCUACUCCCCGCACCUCACCGACCCCUCUAGCGUCAAGUUCGUCUUCGGCCGAACUCCGGUGGCCGCCAAAGUCGUCGCCGGCGCCAACUCCGGCCACCCCGACCCCAACGGACUCCACCAAGAGCUGCGGCUCCUCCUCAGCUCCACUCCGAUGGCCUCCGCGGCUCGUUUGGUUGCCGGAACGGCAAAAACCACUUCCGCCACCGCGUCGGGCUCGCCGGUGGCUAAACGCCAUUGCAGCCGACCCGGGUUGACCACGGGUGGGUGCUGGUUGACUCUCCUGAGUCAAUGACAGGUGGGCCCAGCCCUGUUAACUAUUUAGGAUUAGUUUAAAUUAAUUUUAGUUUAACUAAUCACACUGACACGCGGGACCCACUGUCAGGUUUGACCCGGACCGUGUCCCGUUGACCUGCUGAUGUCACACUAACGUCAGGCUGACGCAGUAAUUGAUUUUCUGGAUUUAAUCUAAUAUAGGAAAUUCCAGAAUAUAGUUUAAACUUCAAAAAUUCAUAACUUUUAAUCUGUAACUCCAAAUCAGACAAGUUAUAUAUGAAAAAUGAUCAGAAAAAUCCAAUCUAUCUAUCUGUACUAUUUUCAUGCAUGAUUAAACAAGUUAACUUGAUGUUUAAUGCAGAACAAGAUAAAACACUUUAAAGGGCCAUGUAUGAGUUUGAAAUUUGAAUCUUUGGUUCAAAUUGGUUCAAACCCUUCUGGUCUUAGCUGCAUUAGCCCAGCACAUUCAUAUUGCCAUGUUUCAUGCAUGCAUCAUAUUGCCGCACAUUGUUUGGUGAUGGUUGAGUAUCGGUGUUCUUUGCGGCAGGUUCUGCCUCCGAGGAGUACCGUGAUUACCCUAGCGAAGAACCAUAUCAGUGCAUCGAACCAUCAGGCAAGCAACCAACCAUUUGAUCAUAUCGAUACAAUCCCAUGUUCUCGCUCCUGCUCUCUUUUACUGCAUUAAGACAACGCGUUUCAAACUGCUGUGUGCUACGGUAGUUGAACCCACUUCCUCUGCAUGACCUGUCAUUGCCACAGUAACUAGAUGAAACCCACUAGCAUGUGUAGGAGUUGAUUGAGCCAUAUGUAUGUGUUGUUCCUACCUUGCUAUGCCUACUAUGCUUAGAGUCGUGUCAGGUCUGGUUCAUCUAGGUGAUGGGCUAGAGUGAAAUGAUCAUGUCGGUGAUGAGAGUGGUGUGGUGAACACGAUUUGGUAAAGGUAUCGAUGAGAGGCCAUGUAGGAGUACAUGGUGGGUUGUUUCAUUGAAGCCGACCUUAAGCACUGAGAUCUGUAUGUGUGAUUUAAGAAUCAGCUACUACCAUGCAUUGGGCCCGAAACCAAUGGACCCUCUCGGCUUCUUAUUCACCCUAGUUCUCCGUCCAGGAGUUGCAAGUAGUUUCUGGUGUUUGUAGCCUACUGGAGGCCGUGGACAGCGCUGACCGUAGGGGUGAGCUGUGAUGCGGUAGGUACGUGGCCGGGAAUACCGGGCACCCGUUAGGUGUCACGGACCCCUGUACACAUCGUUCGGGGCCGUAUGGGAAACCUCGGCCGGACUCCCUGCGGAUGGAACCUGGAUAGGCGAUAAACCUGGAUUGGAGACUUAGGUGAUUAGGUAGGUCGUGGCCGACACCCACGUUGGGCUUCCGCUUGAAGGUUGCCGAGUACAUGUCGUGUAAACGACGGUAAGUGGUGAGAGCGUGUAUGAAGAAGUACACCCCUGCAGGGUUAACAUAAUCUAUUCGAAUAGCCGCGUCCGCGGUAAAGGACUACUUGGUUGCCUAUACAGUUCAUAGACAAGUAAAUGGAAACUACUAAAAGCCUCAAGAUAAGUGUGAGUGCCGAGGAUGGCUCUUCCGUAGGAAGACGGAGAUGGAUCCUCGGUAGUGUAUUGAAGUGGUGAGUAGUGGACUCGUGUACGCAAAACCAUUUCAAGUUGGAGUCUCGUAGGAUAGCCUAGCCAAGAGUCAAAGCUAGCUUGCUGCAAUAACUCCACCAACCCUUCUUCAUAAUGUGCAUGUAUGUAGGAUCUGAUGUAAGUCUUGCUGAGUACCUUUGUACUCAUGUUGCUAUAAUCUACAUUUUGACAGAAGACGCUGCAACCCCUUCUGAUGGGUUCUUCGUAUACGUUGACAUCAAUGAGUAGGCUAAGGCCCAGGUGGUGAUCCUGAGCUUGUGAAGGACCACGUAGUGUAGCUAGGCUUUCCAAGCCUCUUUUAUUUUACUAGUUGUCUGUACUCAGACAAGUUACUUACGCUGCUGGUUUGUAUGACUGUAUGACUUGAAUGCUGGGUCGUGUGACCCGUACCUAUGUGUAUGCUAUGUAUGGCUCUCUGGGCCUUAAAUAAAGUACUUGUGUCGUAGAGUCAUGUUGUGAUGCCUUGUUGUAUUUGCACAUAUCGAGCAUAUUGUGUGUAUGAUUGAAAUGCUUGGUAUGUGUGGGAUCUGACUAUCUAGUUGUUUAUCUUUAGUAGCCUCUCUUACCGGGAAAUGUCUCCUAGUGUUACCACUGAGCCAUGGUAGCUUGCUACUGCUCUGGAACACUUAGGUUGGCCGGCAUGUGUCCUUCUUCGUUCCUGUGUCUGUCCCUUCGGGGAAAUGUCACGCAUUGAGUACCGGAGGCCUGUUAGCCCGCUACAGCCCGGUUUACCGGAGUCUUGCUAGCCCAGUGCUACAGCCCGGACCCACUUGCUGAUGACCGACACGUUCGAUGCUGGGUCAUGGAUGCCUGUCCCUGUAAGUCGGUGCCACUUUGGGUUUACGACUAGCCAUGUCAGCCCGGGCUCCUUAUCAUAUGGGUGCUAGCGACACUAUCAUAUACGUGUGCCAAAAGGCGCAAACGGUCUCGGGCAAAGGUAAGACGACACCCGUGGGAAUACCGUGCGUGAGGCCGCAAAGUGAUAUGAGGUGUUACAUGCUAGACCUAUGUGGCAUCGAGUCGGGGUCCUGACAGCGUUGGCAUCAGAGCCGGACUGCCUGUAGGUUCUCCAAGCCAAACUGGUCGAUGUUGAGUCUAGAAAUUCUUUAGUUAUAUGUAGGGGAAUUGUUUGUGGGUUGGAACGUAAGGCUCUUUUUACUCCUUUAUCUUAUGACAUUCUGACCUGAGUCAGUCUAUUCUUCCACCGGGGGUUAAGGAAUUAGGAUCUUUCUCUCUAGCAGGUUCACGUGUUACUAAUCAGUAGUACCUUAUAGGUUGGAUGGAUACAAGCCUAGUUCAGUUCUACUGCCACAUUAUGUUGCUAGGAUGGACUCAGAACUUGAUAUGAUGUUGUUGAGUGUGUAUGAAAUCCUUUGUCAAAUGUCUCAAAAUCCUUUUUGAGCAUUUACAGCUAUUAUGCUGCCAAAAUUUUGCUAGAAAUUCUAAUGCCUUUGCAUUAUGGUUGUGCUUUCAGAUGGCCACUCGCGACCUCAAUCAAGUGGUUCGCCUGACUCGAUGCCUAGAUGUACCCGGCCAUACUGCCAUGUUGGUCAGGGUAAUGACUGAGGCUGGAUACCGUUGGUAUCCUGAGUACACGGUCGAAGAGCAAUUUCGAGACUUUAAUCAAAGCCAGUAUCUCUGCACUGUCAGGAUAUUUCCAUCUUAUCCUGGAUCCACCGAGCCCCUUCACUGCUCCUAUGGACUCGGGGUUACUAUUGAGAUGGCUGUGCAGGAUGCCGCCUACUCUAUGAUGACCAUCAUGCGAGUCAGGACUAGCCUAUUUCGGGACUCUGAUUUCCGGUAUAUGCCAGGAUCACUUCUGGGAGCACAAGGGUAUCUCCAGGCUAUCUAUGCUGACCCCACUCAGGAGGAUUCACGGACUCGCACCACUGUUGAGAUGCUCAAAGAUAAGGACCGUGAAAAUCGGGCCUUGAGGCUAGAGCUUUUCAAUACCCGUGUUGACCAUUGGGCCACGUUGACUCGGUUUGCACCGGCUGUGCAAGCUGGAUAUUCGGAUAUGCGCAAUCUCUAUCCUGUGAGAUCUGCUCUGCCAGACGUGAUGGGUUGGCGUGAUGUAGGAGGCAUCACCCCACCUCGCGGUCCCCGCAGGCCACCGUCUGUUGGUCCAAGACCUCAUCCUAGCCCCUAUGGUCCACAAGCUCCGCGAGAUCGUCUGUUCCCGGAUGAUCAUGUUGAGCUUCCAGGCUAUAGAGGUAACUUCUACGAGGACUACUACGGAUCGGUCUGAGUUAGUAGUAGUAUCACUAGUUCGUACUAGCUGUGUCGUCUAUCGUCCUGCGUGACUCGUGGGAUAUGACCUAGUUUGUACCGCUUUCCGAAGGUGUAGAAAAAUAAUGUAUAGGAGCUCGGAGUGCCUCCGAUGUGAUGUAAUCCUCUUUUCACCGUAAUAGUAGCUUGUUUGGUCUUGUACUAAACCUUGUAUGGUGUGUAUGACGAUGGAAUAAAGAAGCAGUUUCUAUAUCUACCAUGUCAUACGGAUGAUCAUCUUGCAUUCCGAGUUAUUCCUUACAUUCUAUAUUCUAUGUCGGAAUCUUAUCAUUCUGACUAAAUCAUUGUCUUGUUUACCUAGGAUGGUCAACACGCGCAAUAACCCUGCUCCUCAAGAGCAGGCCGAAGGCAGUGAAGUCGGGAAUGCAAACCCGCCUCACCCUCCUUCCCUAGCCGAAGUUAUGCUGGAAGCCGAGAGAAACAAGCGGGAGACCAACCGUUUGUUGGAGCGUAUUGAACAGAACACAGCACACCAUCAGAGGACUAACUUGGUGUCACUCAGUGAUUUCAUCAAGUUACAUCCACCCACGUUCCACCACUCCGUCGAGCCUCUCGACGCUGAUGACUGGCUUCGCAGUAUUUCUCACAAACUGCGCUCCGCGCUAGUAGCUGAGGCUGACAAGGUCACCUUUGCUGCAUAUCAUCUUGAAGGCCCCGCCAGUCUCUGGUGGGAGAAUUAUGGAGCUAUGCGCCCAGCGGACCAUGUCACUACUUGGGCUGAAUUCAGCAAGGCUUUCCAUGAACAUCACAUUCCGGAGGGUCUCAUGGACCGUAAACGUGAGGAAUUUUGCAGUUUCACUCAAGGCCGACUCUCUGUGGAUGCUUACAGCAGGGAGUUCGGUAACCUCGCAUGAUAUGCCACUGAGGAAGUUUCUACUGAUGCCAAGAAGCAAGCAAGGUUCCGUAGGGGACUUAGUCCUGAGCUUCGCCGCGACCUCCGUCUGCAUGAGUGCACAUCUUUUCAAAAGCUUGUUAACAAGGCCAUCAGUGCUGAGACUGGUCAGACUGAUUAUGACGCAACACGCAAGCAUGGACGUGACGUGGGUUCCUCAUCCGGUGCUGGUCCUCAGAAGCGCCGCGUGUGGGUGCCCAACACUACCCUGCCACCCAGGUUCACACCGAGGCCAUCCUUCCAGGCGCCUCGCCCCGUUCAACAGUCUGCACCGGCCAAGCCCUAUGGUGGUCCAACCAACAAUGCUCCUCCACGUACCAGUUCCGUGACUUGCUUUAAGUGCGGGGAAUCUGGCCACUAUAUGCGCGAGUGUCCCCAGACCAACCCCAACCAAUCUGCUAAAGCUGUUGGUCGUGGCAAGCCGACAGGGAAAGUGUUCUACGCCAAGCCGGCCACCGCUGCACGUGGCCAUGUCAACUGUAUCUCUGCCGAAGAAGCUCAAGAGGAUCCCAACGUCGUUCUCGGUACGCUCCUUGUUAAUUGCCACCCGGCAUCUGUUCUUUUCGAUACAGGAGCCUCUCAUUCAUUUAUAUUCGAAAAUUAUGCUCGUUUGCAUAACACCGCAUUCUGUGACAUGCCAUCCACUAUGGAAAUUUCUACUCCCGGUUCUAGAUGGCAAACCUCCAGGGUAAGUUAUGGAAAUGAAAUCCAAGUCGACAGACUUGUUUUCCUUGCAUCUUUGAUAGCUCUCAAAUCUUCAGAUAUUAAUAUCAUCUUGGGUAUGGACUGGAUGUCAGCUCAUCAUGCCAAAAUUGAUUGCUUCUCUAGGACUGUUCAACUCACCCAUCCCUCGGGAAAGAUAGUCAAUGUCUUGACCCGAAUAGCCAAGCGACAGUUAUAUUCUCUUAACGCCAGCCCUUUGCCAGACCUUGAGGACGUUCCGGUAGUCCGUGACUUUCCGGAUGUCUUCCCAGAGGAAUUGCCAGGUGUUCCACCUGACAGGGAUGUUGAGUUCAUAAUAGACCUCAUUCCAGGAACCGUCCCGAUUGCUAGAAGACCCUAUAAGAUGGCACCACUAGAACUAGCCGAGCUUAAGAAACAACUCGAUGAGUCCUUGAAAAAGGGUUUCAUCCGACCUAGUUCAUCUCCGUGGGCUUGCCCCGUCCUCUUCGUCAAGAAGAAGGAUGGUACGGACCGGAUGGUUGUAGAUUAUCGACCUGUCAAUUUGGUCACAAUCAAGAACAAAUAUCCUCUCCCCAGGAUCAACGACUUGUAUGAUCAGCUCGCUGGAUCCUCAAUCUUCUCCAAAAUGGAUUUGAGGUUGGGCUACCAUCAAAUCAAAAUCAGGAACGGGGACAUUCCUAAAACGGCCUUUGUUACUCGUUAUGGCCAAUACGAGUACACCGUCAUGUCCUUCGGUUUAACCAACGCUCCAGCCACUUUUUCUCGGUUAAUGAACUCAAUCUUCAUGGAGUAUUUGGAUAAAUUCGUCGUGGUUUACCUCGAUGACAUACUCAUCUACUCCAAGAAUGAGGAAGAACAUGCCGAACAUCUAAGGCUAGUGUUGAAGAAACUUCGAGAGCAUCGCCUUUAUGCCAAAUUUUCUAAAUGUGAAUUUUGGUUGUCAGAAGUGACCUAUCUGGGUCAUGUAGUAUCUGGUAAAGGUAUUGCUGUUAACCCUGAGCGAGUUCAAGCCAUCCUUGAUUGGACUCCACCUGAAUCGGUCAAGCAAGUUCGGAGUUUUCUGGGCUUAGCGAGCUAUUGUCGUCGCUUUGUCGAAAAUUUCUCCAAAGUUGCAAAACCUCUAACUGAACUCCUCAAGAAAGAUAAAAAGUUCGAAUGGACUCCACAAUGUGAGCACAGCUUUCAGGAACUGAAAAGACGCCUGACCUCUGCUCCCGUGCUGGUACCGCCAGACUUCUCCAAGGACUUUGUUAUCUACUGCGACGCCUCGCGACAAGGACUAGGCUGUAUUCUCAUGCAAGAUCGACACGUAAUUGCUUACGCUUCACGGCAAUUGCACCCCCGUGAGGAGAAUUAUCCUACUCAUGAUCUAGAGCUUGCAGCUGUAGUCUAUGCACUUAAAACUUGGCGACAUUACCUCCUCGGUAAUCAUUGCGAAAUUUUCACUGAUCACCAAAGUCUAAAGUACAUCUUCACCCAACCGGAUUUGAAUCUCAGGCAAAGACGUUGGGUCGAGUUGAUCACAGAUUUCGACUUAGGAAUAACUUACACCCCAGGAAAAGCCAACGUCAUGGCUGAUGCGCUAAGUCGUAAAUCUUAUUGUAACAACCUGAUGUUACAGCAAAGUCAACCGCUUCUCCAUGAGGAAUUUCGGAAGCUUAACCUUCACAUUGUUCCUCAAGGUUUUCUUUCCACCUUGGUGGCGAAACCUACCCUUACGGAUCAGAUCAUCAAAGCACAGAAGGUAGAUCCGGGAAUUUCCCGCAUCAAGAGAAACAUCAAGAAAGGAGUUGCGAAUUGUUUCUCCAUUAAUGAUCAAGGGGUCGUAUACUUUGGGAAUCGACUAGUGGUUCCCAAGGUGCGAAACCUGAGGCGAUUGAUCCUUAAGGAAGCUCAUGAAUCUCCUCUCACCAUUCAUCUCGGUAGUACUAAGAUGUAUCAGGACCUACGCCAGAGGUUCUGGUGGACUAGGAUGAAGAGAGAAAUUGCUCAGUAUAUUGCUAAUUGCGACGUCUGCCGUCGUGUAAAAGCAGAGCAUCAACGGCCUGCUGGCACCCUUCAACCCUUAGCUAUUCCUGAAUGGAAAUGGGAUAAAAUUGGUAUGGAUUUCAUUACCGGUUUUCCCAGGACCAAGAGAGGGAAUAAUGCUAUCUUCGUCGUUGUCGAUCGUCUUUCCAAAGUGGCCCAUUUCUUACCUGUUCGUGAGAGUAUAACCGCUAGUCAGUUGGCAGACCUGUACAUCUCCCGAAUAGUGUCUCUCCAUGGUGUUCCUUUGGAAAUUAACUCGGGUCGAGGAAGUCUUUUCACCUCUCGAUUUUGGGAAAGUUUCCAAAAUGCUAUGGGAACCCGCCUUUCCUUUAGCACCGCUUUUCACCCUCAAUCAAGUGGUCAAGUAGAACGCGUCAACCAGAUCCUAGAAGACAUGCUUCGAGCCUCUGUUAUCUCAUUCGGAAUGGAGUGGGAGAAAUGCCUUCCAUUUGCCGAAUUUGCUUACAACAACAGCUAUCAAUCUAGCUUGGGUAAAGCCCCUUUUGAAGUUCUCUAUGGACGACGGUGUCGAACACCCCUUAACUGGUCAGAAACCGGGGAAAGACAAUUCUUUGGCCUGGAUAUGAUUCAGGAAGCCGAAGAGCAAGUUCGCAUCGUUCGUGAAAAGUUGAAAACAGCCCAAUCUCAUCAAAAGAGUCAAUAUGACCGAAAACAUAAGGCUAUGACCUUCGAGGUUGACGAGAAGGCUUACCUUCGGGUUACUCCUCUGAAGGGAACCCAUCCUUUCGGUAUCAAAGGCAAAUUGGCUCCCCGUUACAUUGGACCUUUUCGUAUUCUCGCUAAACGAGGAGAAGUUGCCUACCAGUUGGAACUACCUCCGCAUCUCUCCAGAGUCCACGAUGUCUUCCACGUUUCUCAACUCAGGCGUUGCUUCUCGUAUCCUAUCCGUGGAGUGGACCACGAAACGCUUGAUCUCCAAGAUAAUCUCACGUAUCGAGAGUACCCCAUUCGUAUCCUCGAUCAGGCCGAGCGUACCACUCGACGUCAUAAUAUCAAGUUUCUCAAAGUUCAAUGGUCGCACCAUUCUGAGGAUGAAGCAACUUGGGAAAGGGAGGAUCGUCUUCGACUCGAGUAUCCCGCCUUCUUUCCGGAGGAACCCAAAUCUCGGGACGAGAUUCUUUUGAGUGGGGGUGAGUUGUCACACCCUAGCUAGUUCAUGCAUUAGAGUGUUGCAUCAUGUUUAUUCUUUCAUCAGAAACCUGAAAUGGGGAUGACAGAACCCCCAGCCCCCUCUGAAACCAACUAGGGUUUACUAAAAACUUUUUCAAUGAACCUGAAAUGCCCUUCUAAAAUGCCCAUCAUUUUUGUCUUGGUUCAGAACCUCUGCCAAAAGUGAUGCACAUUUUCCUAGGUCAUCUUAGGGUCUUUGAAUUAAAUCAUAGAUAUUUGAAUUUGGGCAUUUAAAAUUAUAUAAAAUAUUCAGAUGCUCAAAUAUCUCCAAACUAAAAUGUUUCAUGUUGGAAAUAAUCCAACUAUGGACCAGGAGUAGUUUGGUGAUUUUAGGAGUUGCCUAAGUAUUUUUAAUAAGUCAACAAAGUUGCAGAAGUAUUAAAAAAACAGAAAACAGUAGAAAUAACAAAAAACCUACCUGGCGCCCAGCACCCGGCCCACCUGCCAGCCCAGCCCAGCGCCGCUCCAGCGAGCUGCUUGCCGGCCAGGCAGGCAGGCAGGUGCCCGACGGCGACCGCAGCGCGCGCCACACAGCUGGCCGUCGCCCUGCUUCACCUCCUCGCCUCGGGGCUGGAUGGAUGAGCUCCACGCCACGCCGUAAACCCCCAGGACACCUCCAUUCUCCCCCAACCUCUCUCUCUCGCGCUCCCCCGCCAUGGCCGACGCCAUCGCCGCCACCCCCUCGCCGUAGCCACGCCCUCCGUCAACCCCACGCCGUGCCGCCGUGUCGAGGAGCUCUGCUACCCUCCUCUCCUUCGAGCAAGCCGAGCCCCGAGCGCUCGCAAGGCCCGAGCCCACCGCAUCGACCUCGACUGAACCGCCGUCGCCGGAGAUCCCCUUCAACGCCGACGUCGCUCCGGCCCGUCCCCGGCCGCACCAAGUGCUUCGUCGAACUCCCCGUGAGCUUAGCCAUCUUCCCCUCCCUUCUUUUCUUGUUCCCGAGCUGAGUAGCAACCUCUCGGAGCUCAACCGCACCCACCGUCAUGGAGCUCGUCGCCGACGUGCUCCCGGUCACCCUCCGGCCACAAACUGGUGUCCAUCAUGUUCACCAUGUCACGUAGCACCUAACCAGCUACUCCCUGCACCUCACCGACCCCUCUAGCGUCAAGUUUGUCUUUGGCCGAACUCCGGUGGCCGCCAAAGUCGUCGCCGGUGCCAACUCCGGCCACCCCGACCCCAACGGACUCCACCAAGAGCUGCGGCUCCUCCUCAGCUCCACUCCGAUGGCCUCCGCGGCUCGUUUGGUUGCCGGAACGGCAAAAACCACUUCCGCCACCGCGUCGGGCUCGCCGGCGGCUAAACGCCGGUGCAGCCGACCCGGGUUGACCACGGGUGGGCCCUGGUUGACUCUCCUGAGUCAAUGACAGGUGGGGCCCAGCCCUGUUAACUAUUUAGGAUUAGUUUAAAUUAAUUUUAGUUUAACUAAUCACAUUGACACGCGGGACCCACUGUCAGGUUUGACCCGGACCGUGUCCCGUUGACCUGCUGAUGUCACACUGACGUCAGGCUGACGCAGUAAUUGAUUUUCUGGAUUUAAUCUAAUAUAGGAAAUUCCAGAAUAUAGUUUAAACUUCAAAAAUUCAUAACUUUUAAUCUGUAACUCCAAAUCAGACAAGUUAUAUAUGAAAAAUGAUCAGAAAAAUCCAAUCUAUCUAUCUGUACUAUUUUCAUGCAUGAUUAAACAAGUUAACUUGAUGUUUAAUGCAGAACAAGAUAAAACACUUUAAAGGGCCAUGUAUGAGUUUGAAAUUUGAAUCUUUGGUUCAAAUUGGUUCAAACCCUUCUGGUCUUAGCUGCAUUAGCCCAGCACAUUCAUAUUGCCAUGUUUCAUGCAUGCAUCAUAUUGUCGCACAUUGUUUGGUGAUGGUUGAGUAUCGGUGUUCUUUGCGGCAGGUUCUGCCUCCGAGGAGUGCCGUGAUUACCCUAGCGAAGAACCAUAUCAGUGCAUCGAACCAUCAGGCAAGCAACCAACCAUUUGAUCAUAUCGAUACAAUCCCAUGUUCUCGCUCCUGCUCUCUUUUACUGCAUUAAGACAACGCGUUUCAAACUGCUGUGUGCUACGGUAGUUGAACCCACUUCCUCUACAUGACCUGUCAUUGCCACAGUAACUAGAUGAAACCCACUAGCAUGUGUAGGAGUUGAUUGAGCCAUAUGUAUGUGUUGUUCCUACCUUGCUAUGCCUGCUAUGCUUAGAGUCGUGUCAGGUCUGGUUCAUCUGGGUGAUGGGCUAGAGUGAAAUGAUCAUGUCGGUGAUGAGAGUGGUGUGGUGAACACGAUUUGGUAAAGGUAUCGAUGAGAGGCCAUGUAGGAGUACAUGGUGGGUUGUUUCAUUGAAGCCGACCUUAAGCAUUGAGAUCUGUAUGUGUGAUUUAAGAAUCAGCUACUACCAUGCAUUGGGCCCGAAACCAAUGGACCCUCUCGGCUUCUUAUUCACCCUAGUUCUCCGUCUAGGAGUUGCAAGUAGUUUCUGGUGUUUGUAGCCUACUAGAGGCCGUGGACAGCGCUGACCGUAGGGGUGGGCUGUGAUGCGGUAGGUACGUGGCCGGGAAUACCGGGCACCCGUUAGGUGUCACGGACCCCUGUACACAUCGUUCGGGGCCGUAUGGGAAACCUCGGCCGGACUCCCUGCGGAUGGAACCUGGAUAGGCGAUAAACCUGGAUUGGAGACUUAGGUGAUUAGGUAGGUCGUGGCCGACACCCACGUUGGGCUUCCGCUUGAAGGUUGCCGAGUACAUGUCGUGUAAACGACGGUAAGUGGUGAGAGCGUGUAUGAAGAAGUACACCCCUGCAGGGUUAACAUAAUCUAUUCGAAUAGCCGCGUCCGCGGUAAAGGACUACUUGGUUGCCUAUACAGUUCAUAGACAAGUAAAUGGAAACUAAUAAAAGCCUCAAGCUAAGUGUGAGUGCCGAGGAUGGCUCUUCCGUAGGAAGACGGAGGUGGAUCCUCGAUAGUGUAUUGAAGUGGUGAGUAGUGGACUCGUGUACGCAAAACCAUUUCAAGUUGGAGUCUCGUAGGAUAGCCUAGCCAAGAGUCAAAGCUGGCUUGCUGCAAUAACUCCACCAACCCUUCUUGAUAAUGUGCAUGUAUGUAGGAUCUGAUGUAAGUCUUGCUGAGUACCUUUGUACUCAUGUUGCUAUAAUCUACAUUUUGACAGAAGACGCUGCAACCCCUUCUGAUGGGUUCUUCGUAUACGUUGACAUCAAUGAGUAGGCUAAGGCCCAGGUGGUGAUCCUGAGCUUGUGAAGGACCACGUAGUGUAGCUAGGCUUUCCAAGCCUCUUUUAUUUUACUAGUUGUCUGUACUCAGACAAGUUACUUCCGCUGCUGGUUUGUAUGACUGUAUGACUUGAAUGCUGGGUCGUGUGACCCGUACCUAUGUGUAUGCUAUGUAUGGCUCUCUAGGCCUUAAAUAAAGUACUUGUGUCGUAGAGUCAUGUUGUGAUGCCUUGUUGUAUUUGCACAUAUCGAGCAUAUUGUGUGUAUGAUUGAAAUGCUUGGUAUGUGUGGGAUCUGACUAUCUAGUUGUUUAUCUUUAGUAGCCUCUCUUACCGGGAAAUGUCUCCUAGUGUUACCACUGAGCCAUGGUAGCUUGCUACUGCUCUGGAACACUUAGGCUGGCCGGCAUGUGUCCUUCUUCGUUCCUGUGUCUGUCCCUUCGGGGAAAUGUCACGCAUUGAGUACCGGAGGCCUGUUAGCCCACUACAGCCCGGUUUACCGGAGUCCUGCUAGCCCAGUGCUACAGCCCGGACCCACUUGCUGAUGACCGACACGUUCGAUGCUGGGUCAUGGAUGCCUGUCCAUGUAAGUCGGUGCCACUUUGGGUUUACAACUAGCCAUGUCAGCCCGGGCUCCUUAUCAUAUGGGUGCUAGCGACACUAUCAUAUACGUGUGCCAAAAGGCGCAAAUGGUCCCGGGCAAAGGUAAGACGACACCCGUGGGAAUACCGUGCGUGAGGCCGCAAAGUGAUAUGAGGUGUUACAUGCUAGACCUAUGUGGCAACGAGUCGGGGUCCUGACACUCAACAAACACACCGCAAAAAGAAGAUUACAUCGAAUAGAUCUCCACGAGAGAGGGGGAGAACAUUGUAUUGAGAUCCAAAAAGAGAGAAGAAGCCAUCUAGCUAAUAACUAUGGACCUGAAGGUCUGAGGUAAACUACUCACACUUCAUCGGAGAGGCUAUGAUGAUGUAGAAGCCCUCCGUCAUGACGGCCCUCUCCGGCGGAGCUCCGAAACAGGCCCCAAGAUGGGAUCUCGUGGAUACAGAAAGUUGCGGCGGUGGAAUUAGGUUUUUCGCUCUGUAUCUGAUCGUUUGGGGGUACGUAGGUAUAUAUAGGAGGAAGGACUACGUCGGUGGAGCAACAAGGGGCCCACGAGGAAGGGGGGCGCGCCCUAGGGGGGGCGCCCCCACCCUCGUGACCGCCUCUGUUACUUCUUGGAGUAGGGUCCAAGUCUCCUGGAUCACGUUGGGUGAGAAAAUCACGUUCCCGAAGGUUUCAUUCUGUUUGGACUCCGUUUGAUAUUCCGUUUCUUUGAAACACUGAAAUAGGCAAAAAACAACAAUUCUGGGUUGGGCCUCCGGUUAAUAGGUUAGUCCCAAAACUAAUAUAAAAGUGGAAAAUAAAGCCCAAUAUAGUCGAAAAUAGUAGAUAAUAUAGCAUGGAGCAAUCAAAAAUUAUAGAUACAUUGGAGACGUAUCAGAACACUGGGCACGGCGUCUGUGCUCGGGUCCGUCCCUGCAGCGUCGAUAAAUCCAACGGCUGAGCUAUGUCUGGUGGGCUGGCCCCGUUCACGUCACCUCCUGGGUCUUUGGUGUCUGACCUUCUCUUGUGAUCGCCUCAAGAGAUUCGUCCGGCGCAGGUUGCCUAACUACCUUGCAGGACCACCACAGUCGUCAAGAGUCAAGACCAGGUGCAACACGCCUUGAGGUAGGGCCUCGUGAGUCCUGCGCUGGCUCACGGGUGCCCAGACACACCUCGUCUAGCCCUAUCGUGCAAGCCACGUGUCAGGGCGGGGUUGUACAUGAUGUCUACUACACAACCUUCUUCUUGUAGACGUUGUUGGGCCUGCAAGUGCACAGGUUUGUAGGACAGUAGCAAAUUUCCCUCAAGUGGAUGACCUAAGGUUUAUCAAUCCGUGGGAGGCAUAGGAUGAAGAUGGUCUCUCUCAAGCAACCCUGCAACAAAAUAGCAAAGAGUCUCUUGUGUCCCCAACACACCCAAUACAAUGGUAAAUUGUAUAGGUGCACUAGUUCGGCGAAGAGAUGGUGAUACAAGUGCAAUAUGGAUGGUAGAUAUAGGUUCUUGUAAACUGAAAAUAUAAAAACAGCAAGGUAGCAAGCGGUAAAAGUGAGCAUAAACGGUAUUGAAAUGAUAGGAAACAAGGCCUAGGGUUCAUACUUUCACUAGUGCAAGUCCUCUCGACAAUGAUAACAUAAUUGGAUCACAUAACUAUCCCUCAACAUGCAACAAAGAGUCACUCCAAAGUCACUAAUAGUGGAGAACAAACGAAGAGAUUAUGGUAGGGUACGAAACCACCUCAAAGUUAUUCUUUCCAAUCAAUCCAUUGGGCUAUUCCUAUAAGUGUCACAAACAGCCCUAGAGUUCAUACUAGAAUAACACCUUAAGACACAAAUCAACCAAAACCCUAAUGUCACCUAGAUACUCCAAUGUCACCUCAAGUAUCCAUGGGCAUGAUUAUACGAUAUGCAUCACACAAUCUCAAUUCAUCUAUUCAAACCAACACAUAGAACCUCACAGAGUGCCCAAAGUUUCUACCGGAGAAUCACAAUGAAAACGUGUGCCAACCCCUAUGCAUAGGUUCCCAAUGUCACGAAACCCACAAGUUGAUCACCAAAACAUACAUCAAGUGGCACGUGAUAUCCCAUUGUCACCACAGAUACGCACGGCAAGACAUACAUCAAGUGUUCUCAAAUCUUUAAAGACUCAAUCCGAUAAGAUAACUUCAAAGGGGAAACUCAAUCCAUUACAAGAGAGAAGAGGGGGAGAAGAAACAUAAGAUCCAACUAUAAUAGCAAAGAUCGCGAUACAUCAAGAUCGUGCCAAAUCAAGAACAUGAGAGAGAGAGAGAUCAAACACAUAGCUAGUGGUACAUACCCUCAGCCCCGAGGGUGAACUACUCCCUCCUCGUUAUGGAGAGCGCCGUGAUGAUGAAGAUGGCCACCGGUGAGGGUUCCCCCAUCUGGCAGGGUGCCGGAACAGGGUCCCGAGAGGUUUUUGGUGGCUAUAGAGGCUUGCGGUGGCGGAACUCGCGAUCUAUCUUCUGUUUUGGAAGUUUUAGGGUACAACGUAUGGGUGAAAGAGGUACGUCGGGGGAGCCACAGGGGCCCCACGAGGCAGGGGCCGCGCCCCAGGGGGUGGGCGCGCCCCCCACCCUCAUGGGCAGCUCCCGUAUCUUCUGACGUGCACUCCAAGUUCCCUGGGUCAUAAUCGGGAAGAAAAUCACGUUCCAAAAAGGAUUUUUCUGUUUGGACUCCGUUUGAUAUUCCGUUUCUUCGAAACACUGAAAUAGGCAUAAAACAACAAAUCUAGGUUGGGCCUCCGGUUAAUAGGUUAGUCCCAAAAAUAAUAUAAAAGUGGAUAAUAAAGCCCAAUAUUGCCUAAAACAGUAGAUAAUAUAGCAUUGAGCAAUCAAAAAUUAUAGAUACAUUGGAGACGUAUCAAGCAUCCCCAAGCUUAAUUCCUGCUCAUCCUCGAGUAGGUAGAUGAUAAAAAAGACAAUUUUUGACGUGGAAUGCUAGUUGGCAUAAUUUCAAUGUAAUUCUUCUUAAUUGUGAUAUGAAUAUUCAGACCUGAAAGAUUCAAGACAAAAGUUCAUAUUGACAUAAAAAUAAUAAUACUUCAAGCAUACUAACAAAGCAAUUAUGUCUUCUCAAAAUAACAUGGCCAAAGAAAGUUAUCCCUACAAAAUCAUAUAGUCUGGCUAUGCUCUAUCUUCACCACACAAAGUAUUUAAAUCAUGCACAACCCCGAUGACAAGCCAAGAAAUUGUUUCAUACUUUAACAUUCUCAAAACUUUUUCAAUCUUCACGCAAUACAUGAGCAUGAGCCAUGGACAUAGCACUCUAGGUGGAAUAGAAUGGUGGUUGUGGAGAAAAAAAAAA